rnacentral:rRNA from 1 species
GAUGAACGCUGGCGGCGUGCCUAAUACAUGCAAGUCGAGCGAACAGAUGAGGAGCUUGCUCCUCUGACGUUAGCGGCGGACGGGUGAGUAACACGUGGAUAACCUACCUAUAAGACUGGGAUAACUUCGGGAAACCGGAGCUAAUACCGGAUAAUAUAUUGAACCGCAUGGUUCAAUAGUGAAAGACGGUUUUGCUGUCACUUAUAGAUGGAUCCGCGCCGCAUUAGCUAGUUGGUAAGGUAACGGCUUACCAAGGCAACGAUGCGUAGCCGACCUGAGAGGGUGAUCGGCCACACUGGAACUGAGACACGGUCCAGACUCCUACGGGAGGCAGCAGUAGGGAAUCUUCCGCAAAGGGCGAAAGCCUGACGGAGCAACGCCGCGUGAGUGAUGAAGGUCUUCGGAUCGUAAAACUCUGUUAUUAGGGAAGAACAAAUGUGUAAGUAAUUAUGCACGUCUUGACGGUACCUAAUCAGAAAGCCACGGCUAACUACGUG